UGUUGGUGUUGGGAUUAAUGUUCGCAAUUUAAGGCGAUUUUUUUUUUUAGCACUUUCACCACAGUUUACUCAAUGAGACCUCUGCCAUCUGGUGCUGUCUUUAGGUGUUAUCCAGGUAUGUGGAAGGUAUUUUAUGACGAUAAAGAUAGACCGAACAGGUAUCUUCUUGCCAAAGAAUUCAUAAGGCGUCCAGAUGCUGAAGAACUCGAGAUAAUAUUCGGAAAUGGGGAAGAGAAAUCAGAACAGGGACCAUCUAUUUUCAACAAAGCAGC
rnacentral:misc_RNA from 1 species